GGUGGCUGUCAGUGACCGCACUGGCCUUGCGAUCGAGUGUUGAUUUCUAGACUACAGCAAGAAAAAUACCUACUUAUCAUCCUGAUAGAUUGCAACAUUUAAUUAUUAAAGGAAGGUACAUGACUGACUGAAAGAGUAACACAAAAAAUGGCGCCACACUGGAAUUUUAAGAUGUAGGAUGGACCUGUAUCAUAGAACCGGUGACGUAUGGAGCGAGUGCGUGACGACGGCCAGGAGAUCCAAUUUGAUCGCUGAAGCCUGAAGCUCGGAGGGAUGACGCGACCGCCGCAGCUGGCCCGUUGAUGUCUUUCGUUUGAAACUUGUCUUAUGAGUUCAUUGUCGUAGCAAAUAUAAUAUUUAUUAACUCACGAUUAACAAGACACAUUGUGAGGAUAGCGUUU